CACGCUGGGGAAGAUUUGGGAUUUGGCAGAUUCAGAACGAAGAGGCUACUUGGAUAAACGGGGUUUCUUCGUAGCUUUGAGACUGGUUGCUUCAGCGCAGGGUGGAAAUGACAUCAGCCUUAAUAACCUCAACCAAAACUUAGCAGCGCCCAAAUUU